AUUGAACGCUAGCGGGAUGCUUUACACAUGCAAGUCGAACGAGUGGCGGACGGGUUAGUAAUAUAUCUGCACGUGCCCCGUAGCGGGGGAUCACUCCCCGACAGUGUGGCUAAUACCGCCUACUAUUGGCUCGGCCGAUAUCGGAUUAGCUUGUUGUUGUGGUAAAGGCUAACCAAGGCCACGAUCCGUAGCUGGUUUGAGAGGACGACCAACCACACUGGGACUGAGACACGGCCCAGACUCCUACGGGAGGCAGCAGUGGGGAAUUUUGGACAAUGGGUGAAACCCUGAUCCAGCCAUCCCGCGUGUAUGAGAAGGCCUUCGGGUUGUAAAGUACUUUUGGCAGAGAAGCGGUAUCUGCAGAAUAAGCACCGGCUAACUACGUGCCAGCAGCCGCGGUAAUAC
rnacentral:rRNA from 1 species